UUUAAUAUGGCAGAAUAGUGCAAUGAGUUUAAGCCUCAUUUAUAAAAUUAUAAUUUUUAUUAAAA
rnacentral:tRNA from 1 species